CCUAUAGGUUUAAUACAUAUUUCUUAGAAUAUAGAAAUUUAGAUCUAGUGUUCUGGUUAGUAGUUAUUUCAUGUUUAUUAGAAUAUAGUCUAGAUUCUAGAAUCUAAUCAUACGGCUGCAUAAAAAGAAAACCCAUCUAGAUCUAGAGAAGCGGAGUGUUUUCCGCACUCAAGAGGAAGGAGGUUGCAGGGAACUUAGAGACUAAUCUUUGCCAACAUACUGGAUUUCUGGUGAUGACAAUAGGAGCAAAUAGUAUGCGGCUCAGUUAAUACUAAAAACAAUUGAUUUUAGUAAUUAGUGGACUAUGACUGUGUGUUUGGCCAUCCAGAUUUCAUAACUACAACUGAUGUUCAAUUACAAGGGAUAUUAAUCAGUCUCCGUGGACUAUACACUGUGCCUAGUUUCAUCCUCAGAGACUGAUGUGUAAGCUUAAAGUAAAGACAUCAAAUCAAAGUAUCAGCUAUCAAGAGGAAGAACAUUCAAAAUCAUAUUGUGAUACACAAAUCAAGCAAGUCUAUAACCAGCAAUAUGAUACAGGCCAAGAAAAAGCUGGAUAUUUGAUUGGAAGGGUGGCACAAAAAAGAUGGUUUAUCACUAGGGAAACAAGCUCGGAAUACAGUUCACUGUUGGGACAUCAAGCCAAAUACUUCUAAACUUAUUUGAAUCAUUUUUGCUGUUUAUUAUAAUUCAUCCAAUUGUCUUAUUAAAUAUAUAAAUUUAUAUAUAUAUACACAAUUCCUAAUAUAGAAUUUCUAAAAAUGUUUUAUUAUAAUAUUUAAAAGUGA